GGCCGCGCGGCUGGGUCGCCGACUGUCCCGGGGCAGGAAGCCUGGGCCGCCUCAAGGAGGCGCCAAAGGCUGCGGGGCUCAGCCACCUGGCCGCCCUUGAAGAGGCUCCCGCGGGGGACCCCUCCUGAGGGAGGUCACGGCAGCGGCGAGAAUGCGGGAAGCCGCGGAGGAUGGAGGAGUGGAAGGAGGAGGGCGAGGAGGAGAUCCAGGAGCACGGGCCCGAGCGUUGGCUCCCCAAGUGGGAGCGGCAGUGCCAGGCCCAGGUAGAGCAGGACCAGCAGCUGUCCCCUGAGCUGCAGGAGGCGGCGGCCGCCGCGAAGCCCUAGCACAAGCUGCACCAGCUGUGGCACCUCUUCCAAGACUCAGCCACCGCAGUGGCCCAGCUCUACAAAGACCCCGUGUGUCAGCAGCCAGCACUUUCUCUGUGCUCCCUUUCAAAACGCAACUGCCGCCGACACCAACCUCUACCAAAAAAGCGUGGAGACCCAUCAGCGAAGUUUAGAUUUUGGAGUUCAGAUUGCUAUCAGCGAGGCAAUGAGGGUGCGCUGGCUUGGGAUCAAAAACGCAGAAGAACCAGAUUUCAUCAGCUUCCUGGGUGGAAUGUUACCUCCAACACCAAACUCUACAGCUCCCCAAGAUUGACUGGAGUGUCCCCAAACUGAGUUACUUAAAAGGAAAUUUCUCAUCUGGAGAGACUGAUUUGUAACCCUUCCUGGAGGCAGGAGCUCAGCAUAUUUCUGUGGAAAAUUGGUGAAGAGUGUGCCUGUGGACCCAUUUUCACGUUUAGGUUUAGAUCCAGAUAGAUUUUUUUUCCUAUCAGAGUCAACACUUGCUCUAGAAAUGUUGAAAUAAAAUGUAAGAAUAUUGAAAUAAAAUGUAAGAACUGCAAUUUUUGACUGUUAGAUAGCCUAUCCUAAAAAUAUUUUUAUAAAAUUUGAGCUUACUGGGGUUACAAUAACAAUUUUUUUUUCCAACACUGAGUAGUUUGUUUCUUUACACUUUCAUGUUGUACAUGUUUUCUUACACUCUUGAGUCAAGGGAAGUUCUUAUGUCUUAGAACUCUGUUAUGGUUAUAGUUGCUUGGAAAGCCUGCUCCAUGACAAUUAAGUACAACAGGUAAUUGUUGGGUUAGUUCUCAUGGGAACUGGGAACUGCCUUUGACACCCUUCAUUAUCUAGUGUGCUGUCCAGAAUGAGAGUUGAUGAGCCAAGUGAGAGGGUAGAUUGAAGAGUCAUCGAUGUUCCUUCUGCCUGUUGUCCCUCAGGUCCUCCUUGCUUUAUAGUCAGGAUCA
rnacentral:lncRNA from 1 species